UAUAUCUAAUAUAGAGGGAAUUUUACUUUGAGAAAAUUAGAGUGCUUAAAGCAGGCAACUGCCUUGAAUACUCCAGCAUGGAAUAAUAAGCAAGGACUUUUGUCUUUCUUAUUGGUUCUAGGACAAAAGUAAUGGUUAAUAGGGACAGUUGGGGGCAUUCGUAUUUAACAGUUAGAGGUGAAAUUCUUAGAUUUGUUAAAGACGAACUACUGCGAAAGCAUUUGCCAAGGAUGUUUUCAUUAAUCAAGAACGAAAGUUAGGGGAUCGAAGACGAUCAGAUACCGUCGUAG
rnacentral:rRNA from 1 species